CCAAAACCGGAAGAACAUUACACUACUCACUUGCGCCCUAAUAGUAUAAAUUUGCAACGAGUACUUUUUCUCAUUUUAUCGAACAAAGAGUAAAAGCUAAUUAUAUUGUCCUAUUAUGCCCCGAGAGUGUAAAUUUGGAAAGAAUUGAUGUCAACGUUCACAAGAACCAAAAUCGGAACAACAUUAGACUACACAGUUGCGCCCUAACAGUAUAACUUUGCAACGAGUAUUUUUUCUCAAUUAAUUGAACAAAGAGUAAAAGCUAAUUAUAUUGUUCGAUUAAGCCCCGAGAGUGUAAAUUUGGAACGAAUCGAUGUCAACGUUCACAAGAACCAAAGCCGGAACAACAUUAGACUACUCAGUUGCGCCCUAACAGUAUAACUUUGCAAUGAGUACUUUUUCUCAUUUAAUCGAACAAAGAGUAAAACCUAAUUAAAUUGUUCGAUUAAGCCCCGAGAGUGUAAAGUUGGAACGAAUAGAUGUCAACGUUCACACAAACCAAAAUCGGAACAACAUUAGACUACUCACUUACACCCUAACAGUAUAAAUUUGCAACCAGUACUUUUUCUCAUUCUAUCGAACAAAGAGAAAAAGCUAAUUAUAUUGUUCUAUUAUGCCCCGAGAGUGUAAAUUUGGAACGAAUUGAUGUAAAUGUUCACAAGAAUCAAAACCGGAACCACAUUAGACUACUCACUUGCGCCCUAACAGUAUAACAUCGCAACAACUACUUUUUCUCAUUCAAUCGAAAAAAUAGUAAAACCUAAUUAUAUUGUUCUAUUAAGCCCCGAGAGUGUAAAGUUGGAACGAAUCGAUGUCAACGUUCACAAAAACCAAAACCGAAACAACAUUAGACUACUCAGUUGCGCCGAAACAGUAUAACUUUGCAACGAGUACUUUUUCUCAUUCAAUAGAACAAAGAGUAAAACCUAAUUAUAUUUUUCUAUUAAGCUCCGAGAGUAUAAAUUUGGAACGAAUCGAUGUCAACGUUCACAAGAACCAAAACCGGAACAACUUUAGAUUACACUGUUCCGCCCAACCAGUAUAACUUUACAACGAGUACUUUUUUUCAUUCAAUCAAACAAAGUGUAAAACCAAAUUAUAUUGUUCUAUUAUGCCCCGAGAUAGUAAAAUUGGAACGAAUCGAUGUCAACGUUGACAAGAACCAAAAUCGGAACAACAGAAGACUACUUACUUGCGCCCUAACAGUAUAAAUUUGCAACGAGUACUUUUUCUCAUUCUAUCGAACAAAGAGUAAAAGCUUAUUAUAUUGUUCUAUUAUGCCCCGAGAGUGUAAAUUUGGAACGAAUCGAUGUCAAAGUUCACAGGAACCAAAUCCGGAACAACAUUAGACUGCUCACUUGCGCCCUGACAGUAUUAAUUUGCAACGAGUACUUUUCCUCAUUCUAUCGAACAAAGCGUAAAAGCUAAUUAUAUUGCGCCCCGAGAGUGUAAAUUUGGAACGAAUCGAUGUCAACGUUCACAAGAACCAAAACCGGAACAACUUUAGAUUCCUCAGUUGUGCCCUAACAGUAUAACUUUGCAACGAGUACUUUUUCUCAUUUUAUCAAACAGCGAGUAAAAGCUAAUUAUAUUGUUCGAUUAAGCCCCGAGAGUGUAAAUUUGGAACGAAUCGAUGUCAACGUUCACAAGAACCAAAACCGGAACAACAUUAGACUACUCAGUUGCGCCCUAACAGUAUAACUUUGCAAUGAGUACUUUUUCUCAUUUAAUCGAACAAAGAGUAAAACCUAAUUAAAUUGUUUGAUUAAGCCCCGAGAGUGUAAAGUUGGAACGAAUAGAUAUCAACGUUCACACAAACCAAAAUCGGAACAACAUUAGACUACUCACUUACACCCUAACAGUAUAAAUUUGCAACCAGUACUUUUUCUCAUUCUAUCGAACAAAGAGAAAAAGCUAAUUAUAUUGUUCUAUUAUGCCCCGAGAGUGUAAAUUUGGAACGAAUUGAUGUCAACGUUCACAAGAAUCAAAACCGGAACCACAUUAGACUGCUCACUUGCGCCCUAACAGUAUAACUUCGCAACAACUACUUUUUCUCAUUCAAUCGAACAAAUAGUAAAACCUAAUUAUAUUGUUCUAUUAAGCCCCGAGAGUGUAAAUUUGGAACGAAUUGAUGUCAACGUUCCAAAUUUAUUGUUCGAUUAGACACAACUACUCAGUUGCGUCCUAACAGUAUAACUUUGCAACGAGUACUUUUUCUCAUUUAAUCGAAUAAAGAGUAAAACCUAAUUAAAUUGUUCGAUUAAGCCCCGAGAGUGUAAAGUUGGAACGAAUCGAUGUCAACGUUCACAAAACCAAAACCAGAACAAUAUUAGACUACUCAGUUGCGCCCAAAUAGUAUAACUUUGCAACGAGUACUUUUUCUCAUUCAAUCGAACAAAGAGUAAAAC
rnacentral:lncRNA from 1 species